AUUGAACGCUGGCGGCAUGCCUUACACAUGCAAGUCGAACGGCAGCGGACCUUCGGGUGCCGGCGAGUGGCGAACGGGUGAGUAAUAUAUCGGAACGUACCUUUCAGUGGGGGAUAACGUAGCGAAAGUUACGCUAAUACCGCAUAUUCUGUGAGCAGGAAAGCAGGGGAUCGCAAGACCUUGCGCUGAUUGAGCGGCCGAUAUCAGAUUAGCUAGUUGGUGAGGUAAAGGACUCACCAAGGCGACGAUCUGUAGCGGGUCUGAGAGGAUGAUCCGCCACACUGGAACUGAGACACGGUCCAGACUCCUACGGGAGGCAGCAGUGGGGAAUUUUGGACAAUGGGCGCAAGCCUGAUCCAGCCAUGCCGCGUGAGUGAAGAAGGCCUCGGUUGUAAG
rnacentral:rRNA from 1 species